rnacentral:rRNA from 1 species
GCUGACGAGUGGCGCACGGGUGCGUAACACGUAUGCAAUCUACCCUUUACAAAGGCAUAACCCUGAGAAAUCGGGGCUAAUACCUUAUAGUAUCAUUUGAUGGCAUCAUCAGAUGAUUAAAGCUUCGGCGGUAAAGGAUGAGCAUGCGCCCCAUUAGUUAGUUGGUAAGGUAACGGCUUACCAAGGCGAUGAUGGGUAGGGGUCCUGAGAGGGUUAUCCCCCACACUGGUACUGAGACACGGACCAGACUCCUACGGGAGGCAGCAGUAAGGAAUAUUGGGCAAUGGGCGAGAGCCUGACCCAGCCAUGCCGCGUGCAGGAAGACGGCCCUAUGGGUUGUAAACUGCUUUUAUACGGGAAUAAUAACAGCUACGUGUAGCUGUAUGCAGGUACCGUACGAAUAAGCAUCGGCUAACUCCGUGCCAGCAGCCGCGGUAAUACGGAGGAUGCGAGCGUUAUCCGGAAUCAUUGGGUUUAAAGGGUGCGUAGGCGGACUAAUAAGUC